UGAUUAAUAUAUGUAACCAUUUUUUAUGAGCUCGUCGAUGAGGUCGUGGUAGAAUUGCACACCAGCUUGACUCACUCCUUUCUCCUUUCUCCCAUCUGAUAAAAUUAUUGUUUUGUUUCAUUAAUAUAGCAAUCAUCGUAAAUACACCAAAUUCGAUUGACACUAAGUAGUGAU
rnacentral:sRNA from 1 species